GGGUCGCUAGCUCAGUUGGCUAGAGCACCUGAUUUACACUCAGGGGGUCGGGGGUUCGAGCCCCUCGCGACCCACCA
rnacentral:tRNA from 1 species